UACGAAGGGGGCUAGCGUUGUUCGGAAUUACUGGGCGUAAAGCGUGCGCAGGCGGUUUUGUAAGUUUGUCGUGAAAUCCCCGGGCUCAACCUGGGAAUGGCGAUGAAGACUGCAAGGCUAGAAUCUGGCAGAGGGGGGUAGAAUUCCACGUGUGAGCAGUGAAAUGCGUAGAGAUGUGGAGGAACACCGAUGGCGAAGGCAGCCCCCUGGGUCAAGAUUGACGCUCAUGCACGAAAGCGUGGGGAGCAAACGAGGAUACGAAACCCGGGUAUCCAGAA
rnacentral:rRNA from 1 species